GUCAAGUUUGGCAUGUGAUACCUUUUCGGAAGGCCUAAAGAGAGCCUUACGACGAAAGAAGCAGGACCAUGGAACAUUUCCAUUGACUUUUUGUCGAGCCCAAAUUUUGACCUUUAAGUACUUUUUCGGGCAUUUUCGUGAUUUGGGCUAUAUUACGGACCUAAAAUUACUUGUUCAAGCAUUGAUUUAGAAUUUUUUCAUGCAUCAAAGCUCGUUAAGACUUAAUGGGGUAUUCCUACAUAGCGGGUGGGACCCACGGUGAAUGGUUCAUCAAGUCUUCAAAAAAGAAUAUAUACGAUUGCAUUGCAUAUACUAAUGGAUGCGAUCAUACCAGCUCUAAUGCACCGGAUCCCAUCAGAACUCCGCAGUUAAGCGUGCUUGGGUGAGAGUAGUACUAGGAUGGGUGACCUCCCGGGAAGUCCUCGUGUUGCAUCCCUUUUUUUUUUUUUAAUUUGUUUUUUUUUGGUUAAAACUUUAUGACUCCAUAACUUAUACACAG
rnacentral:rRNA from 1 species